AUUUCUAGGAGUGCCCGCCCGCGCUCAGUGCGCAGGCGUCGGGCGCUCAGGGCCUGCGAGAGCGAGCUCUGAGUUGUCCCAGGGUCUACCCAGACCAGGAGAGAGGGUGGGACCAGCCGGCCAGGCAGGUACCUGUCUGGUCAACUGCAGUCGAAAAAUAUUAAAUUAAAAAUUCCAGAAAUAAACAAAUGCUACUAGUUAUGAGACAUUGAGAGAAAUGAGAAAGUAGCUCCUCAAAUCAUGGUCUGUGUUCCACGGUUCAGAAGAAAAGCCACAGUUGAGAAAGGCUGACAGGUUCUAUGAGAGACACCGAGAAUACAAUGCUGAGCAAAAUAGACACAGCUCUGGCCCUUAAGAAGAUGAGUCCUGGCGGGGAAACAGACAUUAAACAACUAACAGCUGAGUAUACAAAAUGGAUCUUCUUUAUGAGGAAAUUCAAGUUUUUCCACUCAGGAAUAAGUCUGGGUGAAGAUGAUUUCCUAGUGACAUCCCAGCUCUUUAUAGACAUCUUGGAUUACAGAACCUGUGGAAGGUAAAGGUCUCUUAAUCAUAACAUCUAAUGUUAGAAUGGAAAUUAAGGGAAAUGGGAAAGAGGGAAGGGCAACAGGAUAAAUUAGAGAAGUACUCCUUUAGAAGCUGGGCCAGGUGGCUCAUGCCUGUAAUCCCAGCACUCUGGGAGGCCGAGGCAGGUGGAUCACUUGAGCCCAGGAACUUGAGACCAGCUUGGGCAACAUGACCAAACCCCAUAUCUACUAAAAACACAAAGAUCAGCUGGACAUGGUGGCACGAGCCUGUAGUCCUAGCUACUUGGGAGGCUGAGGCAGAAAAAUCACUUGAACCUGGAGGAGGAGGUUGCAGUGAGCUGAGAUCACACCAUUGCACUCCAGCCUGGGCGACAAGAGCAAGA